CUAGCAUUCACCGUAAGAAGUUGAGUGGCGGACGGGUGAGUAACACGUGGGUAACCUGCCUAAAAGAAGGGGAUAACACUUGGAAACAGGUGCUAAUACCGUAUAUCUCUAAGGAUCGCAUGAUCCUUAGAUGAAAGAUGGUUCUGCUAUCGCUUUUAGAUGGACCCGCGGCGUAUUAACUAGUUGGUGGGGUAACGGCCUACCAAGGUGAUGAUACGUAGCCGAACUGAGAGGUUGAUCGGCCACAUUGGGACUGAGACACGGCCCAAACUCCUACGGGAGGCAGCAGUAGGGAAUCUUCCACAAUGGACGCAAGUCUGAUGGAGCAACGCCGCGUGAGUGAAGAAGGUCUUCGGAUCGUAAAACUCUGUUGUUAGAGAAGAACACGAGUGAGAGUAACUGUUCAUUCGAUGACGGUAUCUAACCAGCAAGUCACGGCUAACUACGUGCCAGCAGCCGCGGUAAUACGUAGGUGGCAAGCGUUGUCCGGAUUUAUUGGGCGUAAAGGGAACGCAGGCGGUCUUUUAAGUCUGAUGUGAAAGCCUUCGGCUUAACCGGAGUAGUGCAUUGGAAACUGGAAGACUUGAGUGCAGAAGAGGAGAGUGGAACUCCAUGUGUAGCGGUGAAAUGCGUAGAUAUAUGGAAGAACACCAGUGGCGAAAGCGGCUCUCUGGUCUGUAACUGACGCUGAGGUUCGAAAGCGUGGGUAGCAAACAGGAUUAGAUACCCUGGUAGUCCACGCCGUAAACGAUGAAUGCUAGGUGUUGGAGGGUUUCCGCCCUUCAGUGCCGCAGCUAACGCAAUAAGCAUUCCGCCUGGGGAGUACGACCGCAAGGUUGAAACUCAAAGGAAUUGACGGGGGCCCGCAC
rnacentral:rRNA from 1 species